rnacentral:lncRNA from 1 species
UAAGUCUGGAAACUUCUCUCUCAUCUCACUCUCCAACUGCCAUAUCGCCUCGUCCGAAGUGUGGUGUUGCCACCACACUUUCACAUUGGGGAUUCUCUUAUUGUGUAAAACCUUGUUGGUCCAACCAAAGAUUUUUGCGGGGAGUUCCUCGUAUGUCAUAUCAGCUUGAACCUGCAUCUCUUCGUGAGGAAUGAUAUGAGAAGCGUCA